GGGCGGGACGCGGCGGCAGUCGGGCUCCUGGGCGCGCACUUUGUUUCUGCCACCCUGCGCCCUUGGCGGGGCGAGCUUGUUCCCUCCCCCGGGGCCUGCUUUCCUUCCCCUCGGCUUGUGGCCGGUCUCUACCACACCCCGUCUUCUGAGGGUUUGAAUGUGGAAAAGCUGAUGCUCCUUGCAGGAAAAGUUGGGCAGACGCCGAAGUGUGGCGUGCAGUCUCUAAGGGUAGACUCGGCUGCGUUUUAGUAAAAAGCUGCCGCGUUUGAAGCUCCCCCCUCUGCGCGAUAAGCUGCCGCUAAGAGCUGAGGGAGCCCGAACAGCUCGCGUUUGCCUGCUGAGAAGUACCGAGGUGGCUCGCUCUUCACUCACCUCUGGCUCCCCCGGGCGGGCGGGUCUAUAAAAAAAAUCCAUCCACACUGAUGCUUGGGCAAACCACCAAAAAGGCUGGUUAAUGUAUGGGAAUUUAACCCAUCGUUGGCUCUCAACAAUAACCUAAGGCGAUCGUAGCACUUCAUUGAAGCCAGAACGCUGAAACAGCAAGUUUGGUGUGGUUAACGAGCCUUGUUUAACAGUGGAGGCUCACGUGUUUGAACAGUGACUGCCAGACAGAGUUUUGUCCCUUUUGCAAGAGGCUGGUGCCAGCUCCCUAUCACUCACAAGCAUGCUGCUUUAAGACUAUGAAGCUUUUUAUGAGCGACUUGAAAUGGUAAAUCACAAGAUAUAUUUGAAUGGCCCGGAUUAUUCUUUACCUUGAUUAUACGUGUAGGUCUGUAACCUGGGUCUUUUAUGAUGAAUUGAUGGAACUAUGGCAGAAUUAAAUCUCAUCUUUUAUAAGGACCUAUGCAUAGUGGAGAUGAUAAGAGUAUUGUAAAUGUGAUUUGAAAACCCAGUUACUUAUAUUUUUGAACAAUUGGCUUUGUUUCACUUGUGAUUCAGUCAUUGAAGAAGCACUUAUUGCCACCCCUGUAGAAGCGAAUAUGAAAGUAGAAGAUGCUGUCCCUACAUGGUCCCUGGUUGGGGAAAUGAUAGAAACAUGAAAAACAAUUUACAGUGAGGAAAAAAACUAAGUUCUUGAUUGUGUAGUGCAAACUACAUAUAAAUCCCAAACCAAAACCCAUUGCCAUCAAAUCAAUUCCGACUCAUAGCGACCCUACAGGACACGGUAGAACUGCCCCAUAGAGUUUCCAAGGAGCAUCUGGUGGAUUUGAACUGCCGACCUUUUGGUUAGCAGCCAUAGCGCUCAACCACUAUGCCACAAGGGUUUCCAUAUAAAUCCCAGGGGGAUGCAAAAUUAGAAAGUAGUGGAAAUGGGAACUAGUGAGGGAGGUCUUCAUCAAGGAGCUGAAUCUUGAGCCAGGUCUCCAAGGAAGCAAUGGACUUAGGCAGAGAUGAGUCAGGAGGGUAUUCCUGGCAGAGGAAGAACAGAAGAGAAAGGAUGAGGUGGGGCGGAAGCAAUCAGACUGAGAGGCUAGGAGUCCAGCUUGGUAAAAUGAUUUUCACUCUUUUCCAAAUCUGUGUGUGACUAUUUGAGACAGUAUUAGUUUGCAAGUAAGUGAUUUAAUAUAUUCCAGUUGUGAAAUUUAAGUGUCCUACCUUUAUAAUAUUCUAUUUAUAAAUCCUAUUUAUAUCCCACUUAUUAGGUGGGGCUAAAAGAAAUUUAAAAAUUAGUGUUAAUAAAAGGGAUAAAAGCACAGAUUGUGACUUGAGCAGUGUGUGAAAAAAUUUUUUAAUCUUAAAUGAGUACCUUGAAAUUGGUCAAGGUAAACAUUUGGUUAUAAAUUCUUAGAGGCAGAAUACUGAAUUUAGUACUAUUUAUACUGAGUGGUGAUGAGCAGUUAAACCCUUCAUACCAUACUUUUAAAAAACAAAAAAUAGUUUUUGCUUAUAGUUUGAACCUGGUAUUCAUACCAGUAAAAUGAAAAGUAUUUAGUAAAUGUUACCUGGUAUUCAUUAACCUAAAAUAGGCACAUGUACUUUUAGAAAGAGGGUUUACAAAUGGCAGUGUAAUAAUAUAUUUACUAAAUGCCUCUUUAUCAAACACACAAGUUCUACUUUAUUUUCCCAUUUGGUAAAAGACAAGCAGUUUUUGUCCUUAUAGGUCUAGGGAAUAUGGUAGGUUUAUGGCAUUGCAUUUUUAAGCCAAGGGGAAUCAAAAAUAAAAGUACUCAAAAUAUUCAAAAUCACUGAGAACAGUAUUUUAAUUAAAACAAACAAUAUUUAAAAUCAAGAGUUGGUGUUCCAUCCACUUUUAAAAAGAUAAAUUUAAUGCUUGACCCUUAAAGUUUCCAAACCCCAUUGUCCUCUUACUAGAUGUCUCAAAACUUGGAAAACUGCCUUAACAUACAGUGGUGCUCUUUUGUGGUAUGGGCAGGGAAUUCCAGGCAUGCCCUUGCCACCUCCAUGCCAAGGAAAACUGUAGUCUCUGGUCCUUUUUUUUUAAAAGAACCUUUUUUUAAAAGGGACCUAUUUUAUCUGAAGGAUAUGUUGAGGUUGUUCAUUCACUAAUUCAUUACACAUUUAUUCAACAUCUGCCAUGUCCCAGGGUUUAUAGGAUUUUUUCAUUGGCUAGGUUUUGGAAGAAAAUUGCCAGGCCUUUCUUCCUAGUCUGUUUUAGUCUGGAAGCUCUGCUGAAACCUGCCCACCAUGGGUGACCCUAAUGGUAUUUGAAAUGCCAGUGACAUAGCUUCCAGCAUCAUAACAAGCCUCCACAGUACUACAAACUGAGAGACUGGUAGUAGUCUGUUAUACACCAGAUCACUGUGAGUCAGAGUGACUCAAAGGCAACUAACAACCAUGUGCUGGAGGCCCUCAGGAAGCUUAGAGUUGACUUAAGAGAGAGAUAAAUAAGUACAGUAAAGGGCUUAAAGUGCUUUCUGGAGGGGGCACAGCACAAAGGAGGGAGAGGUCUACACAGAUCCUUAAUUGGAACCAGAGUUUACAGAUGCCCAGGAAAAGGUUGAUGGAAAAGUUGAAGCUUGAAGUGAGCCUUCCCCUAAGAGAGAGCUGCACCAGUAAAGACACAGAAGUGUGAGACAUUAAAAGUUACCCUGCCUAGUGAGGGCUGAAUACAAGCGAGGACUUUGUGGUCAGACAGACCUGUGUUUGUUUCUGGCUCUACCAUUUGUGGUAUCCCUAGGCAAGUUACUCAACCUUGCUAAGCCUUAGUUUCCUCAUUUAUAAAAAGAGGAUGGUAAUAAUACCUCUCUCAAAAGGUUGUUAUUUAUUGGACAUCAACUUAUGUGCCAGGCACUUUUUUGGGAAUUGAGAACACAGCACUGAACACAAAACCAAAGACUAUGUGAGGAGAGUAGGAUUAGGUCACGAAGGUAUGCUGUGAGUUAACAGACACAGGCAAAAUAGCCAGGAGAGCAAGUUGUUAAAACCCAGCAGUCCAUUUUACCUGAAAAGAAAUACCUAAUAAGAAUAAGAAUUGUUUUAGGUGAACCGGUUCAGAAUGAGUUUGCAUUUCUUGGAAGCAAACAACUUUUUCUAAUCGUGUUUUGCUGUUUUUCUACCAUUUCUUGCAUAGGCCAACUUUUUUAUCUUUAAAUUUUGCAUUUAGUUUCCCAUCCCUUCGAUUUGUUUCAUCUUCCUUCACACUUUACUACUCAGAACCUUAAAACUUGCCAGUAGGUGUGUACUUGUAUUUUGGCUAGUGACUUUUGGCAUUGAUAUUAAGACCUGCAGAUUAAAUAGCCUUUGUAUUAAUAAUGCAGGUUGUGAGCAUGAAGGGGUGACUCUACUCACCUAUCACAUAUCGUAUGUUGAAUUUACUGUCCUUUGUGUUAGAAACAGGGUUUAUUCUGAAAGAUUCUAGAAUUUAUAUUUUUAAGUCUGUAAAAUUGGUUAAAUGAAUUAGACUACACAUCAGAAGUAUUCCAGAGGAGGUUAUGGAAAUGGUAUAAAGUGUUCAGCUUGAGGUAUGAUAUUAAGGAAAAAUCAAUAUUUUUAAGCAAUUCUCACUGGGAAAAUGUUGAAAAUCAUAUUUUAUUGCCUAAAUAUGAUUCUGAAGUAUUGUUAUCCAACCGUCUGAAAAGAAAAUGAUGAAGUAUUGUAGAAGAGGUAGCCUGGCAUGUAUUUAACUUCAGAAUUGAAAAUAAUUUUUGUAUCCAGGGUGGUCUGAGAUUUUGAGUGUCAUAUAUAAUAAGACUUCUUUGUGUGUGUCGGGGGACUUGUAACGAAUACUGCUGACAUUAUUAGGCUGCUAAGUUAAAGAGAAAAAAAAAUUUUUUUUUUUUUUCUCGAAGUUAAAGAAGCUGGUUUCAAUUCCUGCACUGACCACUUUCUUUAGUGUAUGUUGGACAAGUUGAGAGUUUCCUAGGGAAAAUAUUUUGCAUUUUGUUUGAGAUUUUGCAUGUAUAUUCAUUAAUCUGUCUCUUAAAGGAUGACUAAAUUGUCAGGAUGUUUAUGCAUUUGUACUUGUUUCUUUUUGUUUAGCUAGCCUCUUUAUGUUUCACUUGAGUGAUUAAGAUAUGUUCAAAUGAGAAUCCAUGUCUUUAUAAACAGAUUAUUUCUUAUAGAGUUCCCUUCAUGUUAAAAUAUGACCCCCAACUUAUUACCAAAAUAUAUGGGAAGUUGAUUAAUUCUAAUACAGAGUGGUUAUGAAAAUUUUAAGAAUGUUUUCAGGGACCAUAACUAGGCUUUAAUGUAGAUCUCAGCCUAUAGCCUCUGCUGCUAUGUUCCUUACUGUGUUAUCCCUUCAUGUGUAAACGUUACUCUACCUCGUGACCAAGUGUAUGCCUUUGUACAUAAAGGGUGAGGUAUAUGUGACUAUGGAACAGUGUUCUACUGUUCUGAGCUGGCUAUUCCAAGGAGCCAGUCGGCAUCAUUAGCACUUUUUUUAUGUUAUACUUUGUGGAAAAUGCAAGCAAGCGGCAUUAUUUGUUGUUCAGUUACUUAGCACCCUGUUCUAACUGAAAAAUAAAUAAUGCCAUUUGCUUGCAUUUUCCACACAAAAGUAUAACAUUGCCUUGCAUUUUUAUCGAGAUUAGUUUUUGCUUAUCUAUGUAUUUUUAUCUGUAUUUUCUCAUUUGAUCUUUACACAGCCUUGUAAGGUGAGUGGACUGUUUAUCUUUGCUUUAUAGAUGAUUAAACUGAGAUUCACUGAGGUUAAGUGACUUACACAAGUUCUCGUAGAAUUUUCCUUAAUUUUUAGGGAGAAAUUUUAAUGUUUCCUUUGGCCAAGAGGGAAAAUCUUGCCUGAGAUUUUUAAAAAUGUAAAGCCUCAUCUUAUAGAUGACAAAAUAAAGACCAGAGAGGUUAAGUGACAUGCUUAAGGUCACCUAACAAAUCAGUGGUGGAACUUGGACCAAAAUCCAGUCCAGUGUUUUCUCAUCUGUACUGUGCUACCUACCACCAGUCAGAUCUUUAAGCAGCAUCUUCUGUGCAUCAUCAUGUUGCAGGGUGCUGUGAGAAAUCAGAAUGCAAAAGAAUUUGAAGAUGGUCCUUGUCACCAAAGGGCUUAGAGUGAAAUUGGGGUGAGAAAAGCUACCACAUAGGGAGUAAUUGCUAAAAUGUGUAGUACUAACUCUUCAAGAGUUCUCUGAAAGGAAUGAUGAGUGGGGAAUGGAAGAGUUUUAUGUGAUUCAUGGGAAAAGGAGAAGUUCAUCUGAGGCUUGAAGGACAGGUUGCUUCUCUGUAGAUGGAGGGAAGGCAGUCCAAGUACAGCUCUCAAGAUAAGGUAAAACCCACUGCCAUAGAGUCGAUUCUGACUCAUAGCGACCCUAUAGGACAGAGUAGAACUGUCCUAUGGGACUUCCAAGGAGUGGCUUGUGGAUUCAAACUGCUGACCUUUUGGUUAGCAGCCAAGAUUGUAGCCCUAGUGGUGCAGUGGUUAAGAGCUAUGGCUAAAACCAAAAGGUUGGCAGUUCAAAUCCACCAGCCUCUCCUUGGAAACCUAUGGGUUAGUUCUACUGUGUCCUACAGGGUUGCUGUGAGCCGAGAUUGACUCGGCAGCAACUGCUGUUUAAGGUAGUGAGGAGAACAGCUAACUGAAAUGGAUUUGGGAGACUAAGAUAAAGUUGGGUAGAUAAAUUGGAGCCAGAUUAUGGAAUACCUUGAGAACCAGCCAGAGGAACUUGGACAUUUUUCAUUCUGUCAGUCAACAUUUGUUAAGAACCUACUGCAAGUGAGGUGUUGUGGUACAUCCUGGGAAUUCAAAGUUGAGGAUAAUCCCUGCCCUUUAGGUAGUAUGGAAACAAUUAUUUGAGUGCUUUAAUAGGAGUGAAAACAUGGUACCCUGGAAGCAGAGGUAGAAGUACAAAGAAGAUAGCAUGUCAAAGCCAAGAAAGUGAUAAGUAACUGGUGUGUUGAAAGAAGUAAUUCAGCAUGGGUAAGGUACAGGAAGUGUGUGCCAGGAAAGCAGGCAAUAAAGGAGGACAGGAAUGAGAUUAGAAAGGGCCUCAUGCAUUGCCAAGCAGUGGUCUCCAAAUGGAGUUUUUUUUAAGCUGAAAAAGAAAGUGAAAUUGAGCUUUAUUAAUAUUUAAUAUAUAGAUGACACUGAUUCUUUCACUUAAUCUUAUAUGAUCAUCCAUGCUAUAAAACAUUUGAUUCACAAGGUGGUGUCCUGAGGGAAGUGUGGAAGCUUCACAAAGCAGAGGGGCUAGUAAUGAUGACUGUCUUAGUUAUCUAGUAUUGCUAUAACAGAAAUACUACAAGUGGAUGGCUUUAACAAAGAGAAAUUUAUUCUGUCACAGUCUAGUAGGCUACAAGUCCAAAUUCAGGGCAUCAGCUCUAGGGCAAGACGUUCUCUCUCUGUUGGCUCUGGAGGAAGGUCCUUGUCAUGAAUCUUCUCAGGCAUGGGAACCCCGGGCCCAAAGGAUGCCCUCUGCUCCCAGUGCUUCUUUCUUGGUGGCAUGAGGUCCCCUACUCAGGUAAGGUGUGCGUCAGGGUUGUUUCCUUUCACCAUACCUAUUCAACCUGUAUGUUGAGCAAAUAAUCCGAGAAGGUGGACUAUAUGAAGAAAAACGGGGCAUCAGGAUUGGAGGAAGACUCAUUAGCAACCUGUGUCAUGCAGAUGACAUGCCUUUGCUUGCUGAAGGUGAAGAGGACUUGAAGCACUUACUGAUGAAGGUCAAAGACCACAGCUUUCGGUAUGGAUUACACCUUGACAUAAAGAAAACAAAAAUCCUCACAAAUAGACCAGUAAACCACAUCAUGAUAAGCGGAGAAAAGAUUGAAGUUGUCAAGGAUUUCAUUUUACUUGUAUCCACAAUCAACACCCAUGGAAGCGGCAGUCAAGAAAUCAAAAGACAGAUUGCACUGGGCAAAUCUGCUGCAGAAGACCUCUUUAAAGUGUUGAAAAGCAAAGAUGUCACCUUGAAGACUAAGGUGCACCUGACCCAAGCAAUGGUGUUUUCAGUCGCCUCCUUUGCAUGUGAAAGCUGGAUGAUGAAUAAGGAAGACUGAAGAAGAAUUGACACCUUCGAAUUGUGGUGUUGGAGAAGAAUAUUGAAUAUACCAUGGACUGCCAAAAGAACGAACAAAUCUAUCUUGGAAGAAGUAUAACCAGAAUGCUCCUUAAAGCAAGGAUGGUGAGACUGCAUCUCACAUACUUUGGUCAUGUUGUUAGGAGGGAUCAGUCCCUGGAUAAGGACAUCAUGCUUGGUGAAAUUAGAGAGUCAGCAAAAAAGAGGGACACCCUUCAUGAGAUGGAUUGACACAGCAGCUGCAGCAAUGGGCUUAGGCAUAACCAUAAUUAUGAGGAUGGUGCAGGACUGGGCAGUGUUUCCCUCUGUUGUACAUAGGGUCACUGUAAGUCAGAACAAACUCCAUGGCAUCUAACAGCAACAACAACAAGUCUCUGCUGGCUUCUCUUUCCUUUUAUCUCUUAUAAAAGGUGGUGCAGGCCACACCCAAGGGAAACUCCCUUUACAUUGGUUCAGGGAUGUGACCUUAGUAAGGGAGUUACAAUUCCAUGCCCUUUAACAUAAAAUUACGAUCACAAAAUGGAGACAACCACACAGUACUAGGAAUCAUGACCUAACCAAAUUGACACAUUUUUGGGGGACACAAUUCAAUCCAUUAUCAUAUUGCAACAUAUCAUAGUUUACUUGAACCUGGUUGAGUAGAUUUAUGUUACAUUAUCUGCUUUUAACUAAAUCUUUACAAAGCGGACAAGUAGUUUAAAGAUUUGCGCAAAGAAACCAUGGACUGAAGGUAAUUCUAACACUGCAAGUGAUAAGAAAAAGGUAGAGCUGCCGUUCUACUCCUCAUGGGAGCUCUUUUUCACAUUUCAAGGUAAUCAUCUCUGUGAAGAAGUCGGCCUAAAAAUUGGUAUUUUCAAGAAGACUUUGAAAUAUGGAUUUCUAUACUUUAUUAUUAAUAAUGAACUUCACCCUAAGAGUAUACUUUACUUUGAGCCAUAUAGUAGCUAAUGAUAGGUGUAUUUUAAUGUAUUUAUUUCAUCUUUAUCUCAUUCUUUAUUUCUACUUUUUUAUGUUUCAUAAUAUAUAUGCAUUUAUAUUUAUAGAUUGAGUAUACAUAUAAGUGUUUACUAAAAUUUUUACCAAUAGGUGUGUACUGUCAAAAAGUUUUAGAGACCACUGCUAUAGGCAUGGGAGCCACCAAAGUGCUUUAAAUGAGGGAGUCAUGCUUUAGAAAGUUCAGAGUGGCAGAUGGAAUGUAGGAGCUCAAGACAUAAGAUAAGGGAGAGCAGUUAGGAGGCUCUUCUAGAACUAUAAGGACAGUGAGACUGGCUGGGCCAGUUUAAACCUGAAAAAUAUUAAGGAGAUAGAAACAACAGGACUAGACUAAAUGAUCAGUUUGUUUGGGGGCUGAGGGAGAGAGGGAAAUGGAGGAUAACCCCCAGAUUUCUGGCUUCAAAAACUGGGUAGACUGAAACCAGACUGAGUGGGGGAGGAACUAGGUUUUUGGGUAAAGAUAAGAAGUUUGGUUUUGGACAUGUUGAAUUUGAGUUGCUGGUGUGACAUCCUUAUGGAAAAGGCCUUUAGCAGAUUGAAAGUACAGGUCUGUAGUCAAGAGAAAUGUUAGAACUAAGGUGAAGGUUUAUGAAAUGUCAAGGUAGAGGUGGUAAUUGAAGCCAUGAGUGUAGAUGAAAUCAUCAAGAGAGAGUACAGAUUAAAAGAGAAGGAGAACCAAGAAAGAACCCCAACGUUUAAAGCAGAGGUCGAGGAAGAAGCAUCUGGAAAGGAAUGGUGGGGGACACUAGGAGGAGAGUCUGGAGGAAAUGGUGCAGUGGAAGUCAGGGAGGCAAGAGUUUCAAGAAAGAGGAGGUGAUCAGCAUCUUCAGAUGCUACAGAAGCCAAGAAAGUUGAGAACUAAAAAGAGUACAUUGGACUUGAUAGUUAGUGAACAAGAUUGUUGGAGUUCUCAGUAAGAACAGCGUCAGUGGAGUGAUGGGAGCAGAAGGCAGUGAGUAGACUUCACUUUAAAAAAAAAAAGUUUCUCAGCAAAGUAAAAGAACAAUUGAAUGAAGCAUCCAAGGAAGAUUUUAUUUUUGUGGCUGUUAAUGUUUUGAAUGGGAAAGAAUUGGGACAUAUUUCUACAGCAAGGAGAAAAAGCCAGCAGAGAGGGAGAGAGGUUGAAGAGAUAGGAGAGAGGAUGAAAACCGAUGCGGUCUGUUUCUGAGCCAGGAAGUGACAUGAUGAGAACAGAAUUUUUGGUUGGCAGCAGUGGAUGCACUGGAUUGCAAAGGGGAAAAACCAAAGGUAGGAGAAACUACAGCUGUUGUAGUAAAAAGUAAUCCAAACUAGAGGUAAUAAGGGCUUUCAUUGGGUUUCAGUGAGGAGUGGCAAUAAGAAUAGAAGGGAAGAUUUGAUUCAAGGAACAUUUUAAAGCAGAUGAUUCUUGCAAGGGGACAUAGCAGAAUUUACUGGGGACCUUUUUCUACCUAGACUGCCUCCUCCUAACUGCCCAUUUACCCAAAAACUUGACACUUGUGGAGAAUCUGUGUCAAUGAGCCUCUGUUACUAGCAUGGACAUUUGAUCUCCCAGGAACAUUGGAGGGGAAAAUGGAGAGCCACUGGUUUUGUUUUGUUUUUUUUCUUUUUUUAAAAUUUUUAUUGUGGUUCAAGUGAAAGUUUACAAAUCAAGUCACUCUCUCACACAAAAACUUAUGUAUGCCUUGCUAUAUACUCUCAGUUGCUUUCCCCAUAAUGAGACAGCCCGCUGCCUCCCUCCACUCUGUUUUCGUGUCCUUUUCGCCAGUUUCUAACCCCCUCUACCCUCUCAUCUCCCCUCCAGUGAGGAGAUGCCAGCAUAGUCUCAAGUGUCCACCUGAUCUAAGAAGCUGACUCCUCACCAGCAUCCCUCUCCAACCCAUUGUCCAGUCCAAUCCUCAUGUGAAAGUUGGCUUUGGGAAUGGUUCCUGUCCUGGGCCAACAGAAGGUCUGGGGCCAUGACCACUGGGGUCCUUCUAGUCAGACCAUUAAGUCUGGUCUUUUUAUGAGAAUUUGGGAUCUGUAUCCCACUGCGGACAGCCAGUGUUUUAAAGGAAGAAAUGACAAGGUAUGGAGACAGAUUGGAUGUAGUGAAUUAGCCUUGAGGUUUCUGUCCAAGGACAGUAGAAGAAUGGCUGUUACCAAUGGGGAAAAAAAGAAUGGAAUAAUUGGGAGGGUGUUAUGCUUAUAUCGUUCAGCUUUGUUAUAAAGCGCUUAUGUGACAUAACUGUUGGCUGUGGAGAUUAAGGAGAAAAAUUUUUAUUUCUAAACAUUACCCUGUAACUGGUCACACAGAACGGGAGCAUAUUUUUCCUUUAUAGGGUCUUUUUUCUAGAUUAAAGAAAGCUUUUGGCGUCCUCUGGAGAAUGGAUGGUAUGUUCUUGUGAGUUUAAUAUUUUGUGUCUAGGGAAAUACAAGUGAUUUAGUUACUUUAAGUGCCUCUUUAAGAAAGAUGAACUGAUUCCUUCAUAAAAUUUGUGUUCAAUUUCAGCAUAAAACAAAAUUAUUCCUGAAGUAAUUUUUUAUAUGACCGAAGUGCCAAUGAUUAUGGUGUCAGUAGAAUUCCCUUUUAAAAAGAAUAAAAGAGUUACAAAACUCAAACUUGGUUUUAUUUCUGUGACCUGACUCCCAAGACAUUACUAGAAUGCUUUGACAUAUUGCUAGUUAAAGAUAUGUGAAGUGCAAAUUUUUUUUAACUUUUCUGCAACGUUUUUCUAUUGUCUUGUGACCCUCUUGUUUUUAAAUUUAUGAAUUAUUUAGAAGACUUCAUAAAAUGUAAACUUAAUGGGAUAGAGAGAUGAGAAAGUUGAGGUAGUAUAUCUUUCAAUUUAAUUAAUCUGUUAUAUAUAUAAAAUAUUGCUCCUCACAUAUGGAAAAUGGAAGUUUUUAUUUUUUAUUGAAAGAGACCCAGAAAAAGUAUAAAAUAUACUUUUUAAAAAUGAGUUGACAUCCAACUAGCAAAAUUAAAAAAGAAAGGACAUUUGUCUUAUUCAAAACUCUUUUGAUUUCAAAGUAUAGAAAUCUAUUUAAACUUAUAUAAAAGCACAGGGAUGUUGUAAAGGUGCCGACAGGUCUCGGGAAUCCAGGAAAAGCUCACUCUCAUUUCUCCUUUCUCCUCAACUCAGAGCUUCUCUCUUUCUCUCUGAGCAUAUCUGCUGUAUCAGCUGUGUUCUCGUCCUUUUAUGGUUUCAUUUUUUACAUUUAACUCUUUACAUAGAAUUUAUUUUGGCUGUGGUAUGUGGUAGAGAUUUAACUUUUAUUUUUCCAAAUAGUUAACUAGUUGUCUCAGCAUUAUUUGUCAGAUAAUCCGCUUGCAUGUUUAGUUCUGAUAGAUUGGUAGUGGCUGCCUGCCUGGAAUGCCUCCUGGGGAAAGAUUCCAAAGUCAUAGCUGGGUUCAGCAGGAAAUAGUGCUAUGAUUUAUUAGUGAUGUCUGCAGUGAAUAUGCCAGAGGGUGGGGUAGAGUACACGUACUACAUAUCUGCCACCCAAAAAAUGACCUGUCCUUUUCUCAUUGAUUUGAAAUGCACCUUUUUCAUGUACUCAAUUUUUUAUAUGGUGGAGUCUAAUUCUGGAUUUUCUCUUUGAAUGUUUUGUAACAUAUCUGGACUGAUAAACAAUAUCAUGAUAAAUGAAGAAGAAAUUGAAGUUGUUGAUGAUUUUAGCCUACUUAGAUGAGCAAUCAGUGUCCAUGAAUGCAGCAAUCAAGAAAUCAAAUAACAUAUCGCAUUGGGCAAAUCUGCUGCAAGAGACCUCUUUAAAGUUUUAAAAAGCAAAGAUGUCAUUUUGCCGACUAAGGUGCACCUGACCCAAGCCAUGGUCUUUUCAGUCACUUCAUAUGCAUGUAAAAGUUGGACAGUGAAAAAGGAAGACAGAAGAAUUGAUGCAUUCCAACUGUGGUGUUGGUAAAGAAUAUCAAAUAUACCAUGGACUACCAGAAAAACCAAGAAAUCAGUCUUAAAAGAAAUAUUACCAGAAUAUUCCUUAGAAUCAAGGAUGAUGAAACUUUGGCACACUUACUUUGGACACAUCAUCAGGAAAGACCAAUCACUAGAAAAGGACAUCGUGGUUGGUAAAGUAGCAGGUCAGUGAUAAUGAGGGAAACCCUCAAUGAGAUAGAUUAACACAAUAGCCGAAACAGUGGACUCAAACAUACCAACAACCAUGAAGAUGGUACAGGUCUGGGCAGUGUUUUAUUCUGUUGUAUAUCAGUCACUCUGAAUCAGAGCCAACUCGAUGGCAUUUAAUAAUAACAAUUCAAGUGGACUGUAGCAGGCAAGAAAAAUUUUAAAUAAUCUAUUGUUAUUCUUUAAAUUUUUCUUGUAUGAUAUAGUUCACUUAUUUCUCUAGAUGAACUUUGGAAUGAUUUUAUCAUUAAAAUCCUUUGAUAUUUUGACUGAAAUUGGAUUAAAUCCAUAAAUUAAUUUGGAGAGAAUUGAUGUCUUUGUAUACUCUCUUUCCAAAUACUGGAUCUCACUCAUUCAUGUUCCAGUCAUGCAGCCAAGGGGUAUAUAAGGAAUGUUUCAAUUGGCCAGGCCUAGGUCAGGAAUUCACCCUUGGAGCCAGGGAAUGGGGCAACUCCAUUGGAACCACAUGGACUGAAGGUGGAAAGGGUUGGUUCCUCAAAGGUCAAUUGAGGUGAUGCUCUCAGAAGAAAGGGGAAGGAUGCUAGGCAGACAGAAACCACAGAUGUCCACUGCAUUGUUGUAAAAUCAGAAAAUACUGAUAGAGAUUAAAUGGGAAAGUACCAUGUUAGUUAAGAGAUUUAAAAACUUUACAGUAAAAGGAAGCCAGAAGAAUAAAUUUGCUUGGGUACUGGUCAGCAGUUGAAGCUUUUUAAAAAUUCUCGACACUUAAAAGUGAGUAAUAAAUUAUUCUCAGCAUUUAUUUUGGUGGUAUUUUGAACUUUUCUGUAAAUUUCAGGCAACUUUGCAAGUAUGCAUUGUGAUCAUAUUUUUACAGCUAGGAUAACACAAAUAUAAAGAGCUUAGGAAUAGGCCUUAAAUUCAGAGAUGAGGACUGAGAAAAAUCUUUACUUUGUCUAUAAAAAUGUUGUUGUUGUUGGGUGCCAUUGACAGUGAACUGCCCCAUAGGCUUUUCUUGGCUGUAAUUUUUAUGGAAGCAGAUCACCAGGUCUUUCUCCUGUGGAGCCAGGGCUCUUUCUAUCAAUUUUUUUUUUUGGUAAGAAUUAUUUUGAUUGCAAGCGGCAGAAACCCCAAACUGACCUAAUUUGAGCAGAAGUGGAAUGUAUUGCCUCAUGUAACUCUUAAGACUAGGAGUAGAUCUAGGUUUAGGUACUGUGGGAUCCAAAGGCUCAAAUUAUCUUGGCCACCUCAUCUGCUGUGGAGAGUCUAACCCUGUGCAGUAACAUAAGAUGGCACCAGCAGUUCUAGGAAUAUAUUGCACCAACUUAAUAACCCCUGUUUAGAAAAAAAAAAAGGUUUUUUUCUAGCACCCAUAUAUCAGUCUCAGGGAAGGACUCUGAUUAAGCUCUGCUUUAGCUUUACCUACCCCAUCUUUUUGCCAAGUUGGAGACUAUGAUUAACCAGGCCUAGGUCAUAUACCCUGCCUGGUAUAUCAAGGUUGGCAGCCUUACAGAGCUAUGUGGAAUGGGUGGUUGCUAGGCCAACAACAACAAAAAAAAACAACUCAUGUCCAUUAUAACAAGGCAGAUGUUGAGGCUUGAAAUGUUUUAUAGCUAAAUUAUUGUUAAAAUUAAUAAUUAUUGUUAUUACUAAAUUAUUGUUAAAACUAAUGACCGUUAUUGAGAGCUUCCUCUACUAAGCACUUUGCAUACAUUAGCACAAUUUAUUCUUUAACAGCCCUAUGAGUGUCAUUUCCAUUCUAAAUAUGAAGAAAUUGAAUUCUGGAGAGGUUAAAUAAUUUGGCCAAAGUCACAGUACUUGUAGGUGGUAGAGGUAAGAUUAGUUACCUAGAUUUGUUAGACUCCACAGCUCUUGCUAUUUUAACCAUUAUAAUAGAGUACCUCUCUGACGGAACAGCUUGGAUUAAGUUGCUUGCAAGUCCAAAGACUAACAGGAUUUAUUAUGAUGAUUGGGUUAAUGUGUAGGUAAUUGUGCUCUGGAUUCUGUGUUAUUGCAUCUGUAUAGAGGUUAUCCAUCUUUGUCUCUAAUUUUUCAUUCUGGGCACAAAUAGAGAACUGUAUGUAAUUAAUCAACUCAUAGUAAAUGCCCACACCCUGUUAGGAAAGGUACUCUGGGAGAAAUGGAGAGAAAAUAUGCGUUUACGGAGACUCUACUUUUAAGAAAUACCAGAAACGGUUUUACAAACACUAAUAAACUAACUAGACGUAAAUGAACACAGAGUAUUUCAUACAUUACAAAUCAUAGACAAAGCUGGGAGAGCUUGGAAUAAAGGAGCAAGUAAUAUUAGAAUGUGUUUUGAGUCAGAUGAGAGAAGGGAGGGACAUGGAAUAAGGUGGAAGGUGGGGAAGAUGUAGGUAUUCUUUGUAAGGGAAAUGGCAUGUCCAAAGGGCAAAGAUAGGAACAAGCAAGUGAUGUUCAAACUCCAGCAAACACAUUGGAUGAAAUAGCCAAUUUUCAAGAUUCUGGAGCACCUACUUAUUAAUAAUUUUAAUAUUUUAUUAGUAAUAAUGAUACUAAUUCUUUAAUGUUAUAACUCUAUUCAUCAUCCACUGCUUUUUAAUGUAAAAACUCAUUUUUCUUUUGUAAUUAUUGUAGCCAAAUUUUUUGUUAGUUCUCUCAUUUUUAAUGUUUUACUAUGUUAUUAACUUUUGGAAAACACCAGUUUUAACAAAGUAGCAUUCUCCAACCUCUAUCCACCUUUACAAAUUCUUGCCCAAGUGAAACACAGUCUCUUUGAUGGGGACAUUAGUGUCAUGGAUUUGCCUCCUUACUCAGUGGUAAUUAUCGGCUAGUAAAGGUAUUUCGUUCCUGGAGAAGGACAUCAUGCUUGGUAAGGUAGAGGGUCACCAAAAAAGAGGAAGACCCUCUGCAGGAUGGAUUGACACACUGGCUGCAACAAUGUGCUGAAACAGCAACAAUUGUGAGGAUGGUACAGGACCUGGCAUUGUUUUCUUCUGUUAUACAUAGGAUCGCUAUAAGUAGGAACCACUCGAUGGCACCUAACAACAGCAAAGGAAUUGUUAGGUUUUUUUUCAUUGCCAUAAGGAGUGUCUACAUUUAAGAAAACAGCUAGUAAUAUAUCCAUAUUUUAGAGUAUUUUAGAGUACUAAGAAUAAAUAUUCUUUAUUGGUCUUUUCAACUGUUAUUAAUUACAUUCUAGAAUUACAAAUGCAUUUAUUUUUACAAUGAGCAUAAAUUAAAAGUAACUGAAGAAAUUAAAGUUGGCUGUGGCCCUACACACAGAUAUAAAUUCUGCAAAAGCACGAACAAAAAAGACUAAAGUGAAUUUCUGAAAAGCAGUGUUCAUCGCAGAUGUUUUAAUAUUGAUUUACUUUGUCCAUUUCUACUAUAAUAGAGUUGAUUUUUGUACUUAACUCCAUUUUAUUUUAGGGUACAGAAUAAUAACAGUACUCACAAGACUGGUAUAAAGUGUUUAUACUGGAAAAUAAAAAAAGUGAAAUAAUUUUAAGUAUUGCCAAGCUGUUUUCACCACUCAGGUCUGGCAGGUAGUCUUUGACAGUUGUAUUUAUUUGCAUAUUUUCACAUACACAUUUUACAAGAAGAAUGUUUUAUCUCUGCUUCUCUCUCAGGAGAUUGUGUUGGGAGAAGGGAGAUCUAUUCAGAUCUUAUUCCUCUACCACCUAUCAGUUUCCUCCCACUAUUCUCCUUUUAUUUCUCAUAUUUCCUCCUACUUCCCCUGUGCUUCAAUCUAAAAAGAAGGCUUUGGGAUCUCCAACCCUGUGGAUGUAGCUGUAGAAACUACCUGGUUCUUCAAUACCAAAAAUACUUCAGUUCCAAACUGAAGCUUGAGAGGACAAGGUACUUGAACAAAAAUAAAGCAAAGCAUUUUUUUUUUUAAUUAACUUUUAUUAAGCUUCAAGUGAACGUUUACAAAUCCAAUCAGUCUGUCACAUAUAAGUUUACAUACAUCUUACUCCCUAAUCCCACUUGCUCUCCCCCUAUUGAGUCAGCCCUUUCAGUCUCUCCUUUCGUGACAAUUUUGCCAGCUUCCCUCUCUCUCUAUCCUCCCAUCCCCCCUCCAGAUAAGAGUUGCAAACACACUCUCAAGUGUCCACCUGAUUUAAUUAGUUCACUCUUCAUCAGCAUCUCUCUCCCCUCCACUGACCAGUCCCUUUCAUGUCUGAUGAGUUGUCUUCGGGGAUGAUUCCUGUCCUGUGCCCACAGAAGGUCUGGGGAGCAUUGCCGCCGGGAUUCCUCUAGUCUCAGUCAGACCAUUAAGUAUGGUCUUUUUAUGAGAAUUUGGGGUCUGCAUCCCACUGAUCUCCUGCUCCCUCAGGAGUUCUCUGUUGUGCUCCCUGUCAGGGCAGUCAUCGAUUGGGGCCGGGCACCAACUAGUUCUUCUGGUCUCAGGAUGAUGUAGGUCUCUGGCUGAUGUGGCCCUUUCUGUCUCUUGGGCUCUUAGUUGUCGUGUGACCUUGGUGUUCUUCAUUUUCCUUUGCUUCAGGUGGGUUGAGACCAAUUGAUGCAUCUUAGAUGGCCGCUUGUUAGUAUUUAAGACCCCAGAUGCCAUAUUUCAAAGUGGGAUGCAGAAUGUUUUCAUAAUAUAAUUAUUUUGCCAAUUGACUUAGAAGUCCCCUCAAACCAUGUUCCCCAGACCCCCGCCGCUGCUCCGCUGACCUUUGAAGCAUUCAUUUUAUCCCAGAAACUUCUUUGCUUUUGGUCCAGUCCAAUUGAGCUGACCUUCCAUGUAUUGAGUGUUGUCUUUCCCUUCACCCAAAGCAGUUCUUAUCUACUGAUUAAUCAAUAAAAAACCCUCUCCCUCCCUCCCUCCCUCCCCCCUUCGUAACUACAAAAGUAUGUGUUCCUUCUCAGUUUAUACUAUUUCUCAAGAUCUUAUAAUAGUGGUCUUAUACAAUAUUUGUCCUUUUGCCUCUGACUAAUUUCGCUCAGCAUAAUGCCUUCCAGGUUCCUCCAUGUUAUGAAAUGUUUCAGAGAUUCGUCACUGUUCUUUAUCGAUGCGUAGUAUUCCAUUGUGUGAAUAUACCACAAUUUAUUUAUCCAUUCAUCCGUUGACGGACACCUUGGUUGCUUCCAGCUUUUUGCUAUUGUAAACAGAGCUGCAUUAACAUGGGUGUGCAUAUAUCUGUUUGUGUGAAGGCUCUUAUUUCUCUAGGGUAUAUUCCGAGGAGUGGGAUUUCUGGGUUGUAUGGUAGUUCUAUUUCUAACUGUUUAAGAUAACGCCAGAUAGAUUUCCAAAGUGGUUGUACCAUUUUACAAUCCCUCCGCAGCCUCUCCAACAUUUAUUAUUUUGUGUUUUUUGGAUUAAUGCUAGCCUUGUUGGUGUGAGACGGAAUCUCAUCGUAGUUUUAAUUUGCAUUUCUCUAAUGGCUAAUGAUCGAGAGCAUUUUCUCAUGUAUCUGUUGCCUGCCUGAAUACCUUCUUUAGUGAAAUGUGUGUUCAUAUCCUUUGCCCACUUCUUGAUUGGGUUGUUUGUCUUUUUGUGGUUGAGUUUUGACAGAAUCAUGUAGAUUUUAGAGAUCAGGCGCUGGUCUGAGAUGUCAUAGCUGAAAAUUCUUUCCCAGUCUGUAGGUGGUCUUUUUACUCUUUUGGUGAAGUCUUUAGAUGAGCAUAGGUGUUUGAUUUUUAGGAGCUCCCAGUUAUCUGGUUUCUCUUCAUCAUUUUUGGUAGUGUUUUGUAUUCUGUUUAUGCCUUGUAUUAGUGCUCCUAGGGUUGUCCCUAUUUUUUCUUCCAUGAUCUUUAUCAUUUUAGUCUUUAUGUUUAGGUCUUUGAUCCACUUGGAGUUAGUUUUUGUGCAUGGUGUGAGGUAUGGGUCCUGUUUCAUUCUUUUGCAAAUGGAUAUCCAGUUAUGCCAGCACCAUUUGUUAAAAAGACGAUCUUUUCCCCAGUUAACUGACACUGGUCCUUUGUCAAAUAUCAGCUGUUCAUACGUGGAUGGAUUUAUAUCUGGGUUCUCAAUUCUGUUCCAUUGGUCUAUGUGCCUGUUGUUGUACCAGUACCAGGCUGUUUAAGCAAAGCAUUUUUGAUGGCCAUUAACUCUGUGUGUGACCUUGGGAAGAAAUAAUUUCAGCAUUACAAACCUACAUCUCUUAUCUAUUAAAAAUAUCAUCUCUUCCAGCUGUAAUAUUUUAUAAUUCUAAAUAUAGGAUAGUUAGAGAAUGGAGAGUUGUAGUUAAUAUGCCCACUGUCGUUGACGUCAAGUUGGUUCUGACUCAUAGUUACCCCGUAUGAUUUCCAAGGCUGUAAAUCUCUACAGACAUAGACUGCCAUAUCUUUCUCUCACGGAACCGCUGGUGGUUUUGAACCACCAGUCUUUCAGUUAGCAGUCAAGCACUUUAACCACAGUGCCACCAGUUGAUUGUAUACAAAUAUAAGGAUUGUCAGAGAAUUAGAAUAUAAUCAAAUGAUUUUUAACAUUAACAACAUUCUAAAUAUAAUGGAUUCUUUAAUAAUUCAGAUGGAACUUUAGCAUUUGCAAUAUCUGAUUUUUCAUAUGUUGUUGUUCUAGAGAUGCACGGAAGUGCCAGGUAAAAAUUUUAUGUUAUGGAUUUGCAGAUAAAUCAGCUUUUGCUGUUCCACCUUUUUAAUAACUAUCAACCGAUCUCCUUUAGGCCAACACAGGCAGCAUUUACUAAAGCAAUCGUUUUCACUAAGCAGAAGAUAAUCACUUAAGAAAAAUAGUGAACGAUCUAGAUUACAAUUAAUUUUGCCACUGAUACUGUAUAACUUGAAGUUUCUUUAUUCUUUAGUGAAUGAGGGUAAGACUUCUGCAGUGAAGAUUUGUAAUCUUAGUGAAUAUUGCAAAGAAAGGCCAAAGUCCAGGAAUAAGAUAUCAAAUUAUUCUUCUUUACCUUUUUUAGUGUGAAAAGGGCAAACUAUUUACAUAAAUUAUUACGCUUGUUUGUGUUGGCCAUGAUUGUCAAACAUAAUCACUCACAGUUGCAAAAUAGAUGUUAGGAAUAUUUUGACAAGGUGGGGAGUCAGUUUCUUUUACAAAAAAUUUAAUAUGUAUCUCUAUUAGAAUUAGCACACUGGCAUGCUCCUCUAGACUGAGUCCUUUGAGGAAAGAAUUGUACCUUAUUCAUCAUUGUGUUCCUGACACCUAGGAAAGUACCAGUUCCAUUGUUGGUAUUCUAUAUAUUUGUUUAAGAAGGGUAGAAUAAUACAGAACAUUGAAUAGCAAGUAUAAAAAGAUCAUAUAAAAAAAAAAAGUUGCUGUUGAGUCUGUUCCGAUUUGUGGCAACCCCAUGCGUGUCAGAGUAGAGCUGUGCUCCAUAGGGUUUUCAGUUGCUGAUUUUUUAGUAGAUUGCCAGGCCUUUCUUCACAGGCACCUCUGGGUAGACUCAAACUGCCAACCUUCCCGUUAGCAGUUGAUUCUUUUUUUUAAUACUGAUUGUAUUUGAUUAUACGAGUAUACCACAGUUCUCUUGUUGAUGGACAUGUGGGGUAUUUCCAGUUUCUGGAUGUUAUGAAUGAGGCUGUUACAAACAUUUUUGUUCAAUGUUUUGUGUGAGUGAACAUGUUUUCAUUUCUUUUGGGUAAAAUUGCUGGGUUAUAGGGUAGAUGUGUGUUUAACUUUGUAAGAGAUGGUCAAACAGCUCUGUAGAGUAGAAGUUCCACGUUACACUCCCAAAAACACUCUAUGAGCGUUUCAGUUGCUUUACAUCCUUGUAGACAUUAGGUGUUCCUACUCUUUUUAUUGUAAGCAUUUUAGUGGGAAUGAAAUGGUAUUUCGUUGUGAUUUUAAUUUUUAUUUCCUCAGUGAAUAAAGAUAUUGAGCACCUUUUCACGUUUUUAUUGGCCAUUCAUAUAUCUGGCCUUUUUUAUUAACUGAGUUAUUUAUUUUUUCAUUGUUGGUUUGUAGGAUUUCUUUAUAUAUUCUGCAUACAAGCCUGUUGUCAGUUGUAUGUGUCGUGAAUAUUUCUUCCCAGUCUGUAGCUUAUCUAUUCAUUUUCUUAUGCGGUCCCAUUUAUUUAUUUUGUCUUUUACUAUUUGUACUUUUGUAACUAGAUAAUCCAUGUUUAAAAACUAGGCCUGACAGUGUUUAUAGUUUGUACAUUUAGGUUGUUAAUCCAUUUUAAAUUUGUUUUUGUGUAUAGUGUGAGGCAUGGGUUCUGUUUCAUUUUUUUGUAUGUGGAAAUCCAGUUUUCCCAUCACCAUUUAUUGAAGAGACUCUUCUUUCCCCAUCAAAUGAACUUAGCACCCUUGUCAAAAAUCAGUUGACCAUAGAUGUGUCUGUGGGUUUAUUUCUAGACUUUCAGUUCUAUUCCGUUGGUCUAUGUGUCCAUUGUUAUAUCAGUACCUGGCUGUUUUGAUUACUGUAGCUGUAUACCAAACCCAUUGCCAUCAAGUCGAUUCUGACUCGUAGUGACCUUAUAGGAAGGAGAGAGUAGUACUGCCCCAUGAGGUUUCCAAGAAGUGGCUGGGGGAUUCAAACUGCCAACCUUUUGGUUAGCAGCUGUAGCUGUUAACCACUGCGCCAACAGGGCUCCUGUAGCUGUAUAAAAAACCCGCUGCCGUCAAGUCGAUUCCGACUCAUAGCGACCCUAUAGGACAGAGUAGAACUGCCCCAUAGAGUUUCCAAGGAGCGCCUGGUGGAUUUCAAACUGUCAGCCUUUUGGUUAGCAGCCAUGGCACUUAACCACUAAGCUACCAGGGUUUCCCUAGGUGUAUAAUAUGGUUUAAAAUCAGGAAGUAUGAGCCCUCCUACUUUGUUCUUGUCUUUCAACUUUGGCUUAGCUAUUUGAGGCCUCUUGCCAUUCCAUAUAAUGUUGAGGAUUGGUUUUUCUAUUUCUGUAAAAAAGGCUGUUGGAAUUUUGAUUGGGAUUGCAUUGAAUCUGUAGAUCAUUUUGAGUAGUGUUGACAAUAUUAACUCUUACAAUCCAUGAACAUGGGACAUCUUUCCAUUUAUUUAAGUCUUCUUUAAUCUCUUUCAAAAGUUUUUUAUAGUUCUCAUUGUAUAACUCCUCCAUGUCUCUGGUUAGAUUUAUUCCUAGGUGUUUUAUUUUCUUAGAUGCUAUUGUAAAUGGAAUUUUUUCCCGAAUUUUCCUUUCAGAUUUCUCAUUGCUAAUGUAUAGAAACCCAACUGAUUUUUGGUUGUUGACGUUGUACCCUACAAUUUACUAAAUUGCUCUGUUAGCUUUGGAAGUUUUCUUGUGAACUCCUUGGGGUUUUCUAUAUAUGGGAUCAUAUCAUCCAUUUAUUUUCUUAAUGGUGGAUUUUGAUAAGCAGAAAUUUUUUCUUUCAUGGUUAGUGUUUUUUGUCCUGUCCAAGAAAUCUUUGCCUGGGUUCUCCAAGGUCACAGAAAUCUUCCAUGCUUACUUCCAGAAACUUUAUGAUUUUGAGUUUUAAGUUUAGACCUGUGAUCCAUCUUGAAAUUAUUUUUGUGUGUUAAUUAUUUUUCUUUGCUAUUACUUUGCCUUCAUCUAACUGAGAAAGUUCUUGCAGCCUAAAUAUCCUCAUUACUUCUCUUUGGGGGAAAAUGGCAGAAGACCACUAUGUAUUUAACUUUAACCAAAUACUGCUGCCACAAAUUCAUUUUUUUCCCCUCCACAGUGUUGUCUCUGUGAAAUCUCAGAUAAAUCAAGUUGUCUCUCUCCGUUGUUUUUUUAUAGUAGCUCCCCAUCACACUUCAAGCCCUCCAAAGGCCUGGUUUAAAGCAGUAUAUUCAGGAAAGCCAUAGGAAAACUACAUCCUGGCCUAAAAGUUGUCACCAGGAAUAAUGAAGUAUUAUAUGUGAUCAGAUUCUUAUUUUGUGGAUUUUGAUACCUUCUUUACAUUUUAUUUAAGCAUCUUGUAUGGUGUUAACAUUGUAAUGGUAUUAAUAUCACAGAACUAGAAGAUUACUUAUUAACACUAAUAAAUGGGAGAGAAUGAACUGAACCAAAAAGUUGCAGUUUUACAACUUGCAAACACUCUUAAAUGUAGAUUUGUACUUAAAGCAGCAGCAGGCUAACUUAUUUUUGUGAUGUUGAUGUGCUGCUGAAUAGAAAAAAAAUGGUAAAUUGGCAAAUAGAAAGUAUUAAGGAGGCAUGGGCAUAAAAUCCUUUAAUACUGCUUAGUAAGGUAUUAAUUUAUUCAUUUGAAGAAAUUUAAAAUUCUUUUAUGAAAGGAAUGCAUUUUUCAGUUGAGAGUGGGGGACUGUUGCUAAUUCAUUGGGUAUUAUCAGGUUUGCAUUCAGGGUAUAGCUAAAAGGAAUGUUAAUCCUGUUAGAUUUCAGUUAUUGUCAAAAGCAACACUUCUCAAAAAAAAAAAAAAAAAACCUUAGAAAUUAUUCUCAGACUAUCAGAAAAAAAAGCCUGAAUGGUUAUUCUAGAUUUCUUAUUUGGAGGGUAAUAAUUGAUUUUGGUUAAAACACAAUGAGCAAUCAGCUCAUUCAUGUAAGAUUGAUUACUUUUACAGAUUAGCUUCUAAAAUAUUUAAUAUCAGUCAGGUUUCUCUUGCUCUCUCAAAUUCUGAGGAGAGAGCAAAUUGCAAAAUGUAAUUAGAGAGGUGAAUCUGCUGCUACAAAAUAACAAAAAAUCUUGAAGAUGUAAAUUAUUUUUUAUAUAUCCACUGUUGUGGACCCCGUACUUGUCCUUUCCAUUAGCAAAAAUGGUGGAAUUAGAAGUCCUGACCCCCAUAGAAUUUUGUUUCUCAUGUUAUUUUAACAUGCUGGCUGUUCAUACAUGCCUCCUUCCAUGAUAUUGCCCCAGCAAUAUCUCCUCAGCAGUAGAAGGAUGCUGUAUAUGUAGCUAUCAUGGGCUGGUAUAGUCAUAGCCUAGAAGCUAAAAUCAAGGUGAAAGCUAGGGAUUCAGUGGUUUAUUAUGGUCUAGGAGAAAGCAAAAGAUCCAGAAACCUGUAGGUCAAGGUGAUCAGAACAGGCCAGGGUUGCCUAUCUCCUAGGGUAAGAAGAGGUACUAUUGAACAGAAUAUGUUGUUGUUGUUAGGUGCCAUCGAGUCGAUUCUGACUCAUGGUGACCCUAUGCACAAUAGAACAAAAUACUGCCUGGUCCUGAGCCAUCUUUACAAUCAUCAUUAUGCUUGAGCUCAUUGUUGCAGCCACUGUGUCAGUCCACCUCAUUGAGGGUCUUCCUCUUUUCCGCUGACCCUGUACUCUGCCAAGCAUGAUGUCCUUCUCCAGGGACUGAUCCCUCCUGACAACAUGUCCAAAGUAUGUAAGACGCAGUCUCGCCAUCCUUGCUUCUAAGGAGCGUUCUGGUUGUACUUCCUCCAAGAUAGAUUUGUUCAUUCUUUUGGCAGUCCAUGGUAUAUUCAAUAUUCUUCGCCAACACCACAAUUCAAAGGCGUCAAUUCUUCUUCGGUCUUCCUUAUUCAUUGUCCAGCUUUCACAUGCAUAUGUUUUAUACAAAGUAACUAGGAUAUAAUCCAGCCCAAUGAGCACAUAAUAGGAGUUCAAAAACUGUUAAUUCCCUUUGCCUUAUUUUUUUUUUUAGAUAUUUCAUACCUGGAUGGAAAGUUGCUCCAGGAUCUCAGACUGCCUGUCUGGAGAAACAGGAGCUGAGUUUAGGAGCAGAUCAAUGAAGCAACACAAGUUGGUAGAGCUCUGAUUCAUCUCCCUCUCAUACAGCCUAUGUUGAGAUCAUCUGCUCCUGUAAUUUUAGGAUGGGGGAAUCGCUGAGUGGAAAGAUCUUUUCAAGAAUGAAAAUGAAGUAUCACCAAGGAAGUUAAAGGUGUGUUUACCAAACUGGACAAUGAAUAAGGAAGACCAAAGAAGAAUUGAUGCUUUUGAAUUAUGGUGUUGGUGAUGAAUACUGAAUAUACCUUGAACUACCAGAACAAUGAACUAGUCUGUCUUGGAAGAAUUACAGCCAGAAUGCCCCUUAGAAGUGAGGAUGGCAAGACUUAAUCUCAUGUACUUUGGACAUAUCUUCAGGAGGGACCAGUCCCUGGAGAAGGACAUCAUGCUUGAGAGUUGAUUUGCAGAGAGAAGUUAAAGGUGACUGAAUUUCUAACGUGGGCAACUGGUGAUGCCAUUAACCACAAUGAGGAAUUUAAAAAUAGAAGAAGAAAGAGCUGCUCCGGGAUUUGGGGACCAUGGCUUCAGGCGACAUCUAGGUCAAUUGGCAUGAUAAAAUCUAUUGAGAAAACAUUCUGCAUCCCACUUUGGAGAGUGGCAUCUGGGGUCUCAAACACUAGCAAGUGGCUACCUAAGAUACAUCAGUUGGUCUCAACCCACCUGGAGCAAAGGAAAAUGAAGAACACCAAAGACACAAGGAUGCUCUGGGUGGUGCAGUUAAGUGCUCGGCUGGGAACCAAAAGGUUGGCGGUUCAAACCCACCCAUAGGUGUCUCGGAAGAAAGUCCUGGUGACCUACUUAUGAACGAUCACAGAUGCUGAAAAUCUGUGGAGACGGUUCUCGUCCGACACACGCAGGGUCGCCGCGAGCCAGGACCGGCUCAGCGACAACGACGGUUCUCCUCUGACACACGCAGGGUCGCCGCGAGCCAGGACCGGCUCAGCGACAACGACGGUUCUCGUCCGACACACGCAGGGUCGCCGCGAGCCAGGACCGGCUCAGCGACAACGACGGUUCUCCUCCGACACACGCAGGGUCGCCGCGAGCCAGGACCGGCUCAGCGACAACGACGGUUCUCCUCUGACACACGCAGGGUCGCCACGAGCCAGGACCGGCUCAGCGACAACCGGCUUGGUUUUUUAGUUCGAGUUUUAAUCCCUUCCAGAGCAUCACUUGUCAAGCGGAAAAGACAGGCAAAACAGAAAACUCAUGUACGACAAUGAUAUGAAGAGUGUUAAGGAAAUAUAAAUGAGAAAGGCUGUGUACUACGCUGUCAAAAUUUUAUUUUUAAUUUUUUUACAUAUGAAAAGGGAGGCAAAACACAAUUAGCUUGCUAUCUUUCUGGAGAUAACUACCAUCUCCAGGUAUUCUUCAGUGUUGCAUAAUUAUCCCAUUCUGUAGAUCAUGUAUGUUCAAUGCCUUAUGUAUUCUAGGCACUGUUAAACAGUUAGCUUUUAUUUUCUUGCUGUAAUUAAUCUUCUCAGUUGCUCAGUACAGUUAGUAUUAGGGUUAGUUUUAGAAUCUUACGGAUUAGAAAUUGAGAUUGAGGAGUAAUAUUGUUUGUCCAAAAUCACAAACUUAUUUUGGAAUUCAAAUCUGAAUCUGUUCAAUUUCAGUUCUUAGACUCUGUCUGUGAUUCUGUACUCCUUCCAAAGUAUAUUGUAUUACUAGUACACACACACACACACACACACCACUUUGAGGGUGGUAUUUUAUGUUUUACACAUGAAGAAACUCAGAUUCACAGACCUAACUCAUGUGCUUCAAACCUCCCAACAGGUACAUAAUAAUAUCAAGACUCGAACUGGGGUUUAUCUGACUUCAGAGUUGGUUGCUCUGCAUUUAUAAUUUAAUAAGUUUACAAAAACAUCCAACAGUAUAAGUACGUUGUAGGAUAUGAAAUAUAAAUCUAAGGCAGUUCCAUGCUGAUACCCUAUUGUUCCUACACUGUUUAUUGAAUGGUGACUUCCCCUCAUUGUUAUAUUGUUUCUACUAUUAAUUAUUUCUAGAAUUACUUUUCUAAUCCAUUUUUAUUUUUUAUUUGGUAGAACAUAUUUAAAAAUUAGUUUUAUUAUUGUUUAUUAAAGAACACAUACUUGUUAUUAAAAAGCUCAAACAUUAUAGAAAUGUUUAACUUCAAAAAUAGAACUCCCGGUAAUUGCUCCUGCACAUAUAACCACUAUUAGCAAACUGUUGUAUUUUCUUGAACACUUUUUAUGAACAUACUAAUGUAUAUGAUUUUUCUAAUAAAAAUGAGAAUUUGCUUUUA